UGAGGUGAAGUCACUGGAGGCAGCGGUUCAUCGAUCUCUUCCUGAAUUUGGUUGUGGAAGAACACAAAGCAAGAAUCGGUCGAUAAACCUCUGCAUCCAGCGCUCACUUU
rnacentral:pre_miRNA from 1 species